CCCAGUUCCGGCGUCCCUGCCUAAGUGUUUUUAUGUCUGGUUUCCAUUUGGUUGUAACUGUCGCGAACGUGUCGUGAAGUGUCCUUUGUCCCCCCGUGAUUAUCGCAAACUGUUAUCACGCUAUAAUAGUUUUGUUUGUGGAAACACCACGUAAACUUAUUACUGCAAAGCUUAUAAAGUUAAUGAAUAAUUUAACUGUUCGCCAUGCAAACAUACAAAGAACUUAUUGUUAUUACGCUGUCGUAACGUUGUUCUGUUUCCAUCACAACUAACCCUUACGACACGCUUUAAGCCUGUCGCAACUAUCGUCGAGAUAGAACUCGAGCACUACUUUGCAACGCGAACACUACUUUGCCGACAGUUACAACACGUUCGCGACAGUUACGACCUUAUGGAAACCAGGCUUGAUAGACCGACUUAUACUGAAGACAUAUAAUUGAUAAAUCAUCCGUCAAACUUCGACGAACCACGAAGAUUCGGUAGGGAAGCCAACCAACCCAGCCGCAUCCCAAAAAAACACAUUUGGGUCGGCAGAAAAAAAUAGGGUCAGUUGGGAAAUCGGAAACACAGGAUAUUUUUUGUUAGGCCUGAGGAAGUUUUUAAAAAAACAGGAAAACAGUAAAUUAGCCUGGAUUAGAAAGAUAUAAAUAAUAUCGUAGCAGACAAAAUGUAUUUGCCACACGCUGCAUGUUGUGAAACGUGUUAUCUGCCGUGUAUAGUGGUUUUCAAUGAUAAUGCAUAAUAUAUACACUACUAGAUCAGUGUUGGUGAAGCAAAUGUUGUAGAUAGUUAUUUGAAAACAAUAUGCGUUUGUUAAACUUAAACUAUUGGUUAUAUCGUCAUGUUUCGCGGUCGACAGCUAGGGUGCUUGACAUUUAUUUACCAGACCACCAUUUCUGUCUGUAUUGUUGGAAUGAUCUCGUCCAAGUUUUUCGAAAUUCUGGUCAAAAUGAACCUCGU